rnacentral:rRNA from 1 species
UAAGGAAUAUUGGUCAAUGGACGAAAGUCUGAACCAGCCAUGCCGCGUGAAGGAUGAGGGCCCUCUGGGUUGUAAACUUCUUUUAUAGGGGACGAAAAAAGGGCAUUCUUGCUCACUUGACGGUACCCUAGGAAUAAGCACCGGCUAACUCCGUGCCAGCAGCCGCGGUAAUACGGAGGGUGCAAGCGUUAUCCGGAUUCACUGGGUUUAAAGGGUGCGUAGGUGGGUCUGUAAGUCAGUGGUGAAAUCUCCGAGCUUAACUCGGAAACUGCCAUUGAUACUAUAGGUCUUGAAUAUCCUGGAGGUGAGCGGUAUAUGUCAUGUAGCGGUGAAAUGCUUAGAUAUGACAUAGAACACCAAUUGCGAAGGCAGCUCGCUACGGGAUUAUUGACACUGAGGCACGAAAGCGUGGGGAUCAAACA